rnacentral:rRNA from 1 species
CACGUAGGCGGACUCUUAAGUCGGUGGUGAAAUCCUGGAGCUCAACUCCAGAACUGCCUCCGAUACUGGGAGUCUUCGAGUCCGGGAGAGGUGAGUGGAACUGCGAGUGUAGAGGUGAAAUUCGUAGAUAUUCGCAAGAACACCAGUGGCGAAGGCGGCUCACUGGCCCGGUACUGACGCUGAGGUGAGAAGCGGUGGGGAGACAAACGA